GACAGAGGUGCCAAGCGUUAGGCGGAAUCACUGGGCUUAAAGCGUGCGUAGGCGGUUCUCCAAGUCCGUUGUGAAAGCCCUGGGCUCAACCUGGGAAUGGCAUUGGAUACUGGCGAGCUAGAGUGCGGUAGAGGGUAGUGGAAUUCCCGGUGUAGCAGUGAAAUGCGUAGAGAUCGGGAGGAACAUCUGUGGCGAAGGCGACUACCUGGACCAGCACUGACACUGAGGCACGAAAGCGUGGGGAGCAAACAGG
rnacentral:rRNA from 1 species